GCGGGGAUUUGUAGGUUCUGCGCAACUCAGCCAGAAACCCCUGGUAGUUGUUGCGCAAAGGGCUGUCAGGCUGCAUGUGAGGGAUGGCCCACCUCUCCGCUUCCCCAGUCA
rnacentral:pre_miRNA from 11 species